rnacentral:rRNA from 1 species
UACGAAGGGGGCUAGCGUUGCUCGGAAUCACUGGGUUUAAAGGGUGCGUAGGCGGCUAUAUAAGUCAGUGGUGAAAGCUUCCCGCUUAACGGGAAAACUGCCAUUGAAACUGCAUAGCUUGAAUAUGGUUGAAGUGGAUGGAAUAUAUCAUGUAGCGGUGAAAUGCUUAGAUAUGAUGUAGAACACCGAUUGCGAAGGCAGUUCACUAAGCCAUCAUUGACGCUGAGGCACGAAAGCGUGGGUAGCGAACAGG